ACGGGAGGCUCGAGCAGAGGCAGUGCUAGGGCAAUGGGAGUUGCUGGGCCGUCUGGGCGCCUGGGCUAACUUCUCUUCGGGGUGGGCUAAUGGGCCAAAAAGCCUUUUUAUACUAUUUUUAUGAAGAACUUUUCCACUGCUCUUGGGCCUCGCCCCGGGCUGCAGCCCGGGCAACCCGGGGCCCAGAUCCGCCCCUGCUUGAUGGUAAAAGCGAGAAAAAAAAGAUGCAGAUUUAACAUGUUCGGGCCACCAGAAUAGCGUAAUACUCUACGUCCUGAUUGGGGUGUUGUAUAUUGCGCCCUACACUUGGGUGUUGUUUGGUGUUGGUUAUGGUCCUAUCUUGAUCUGCCGAUCUAGUUACCUCUAUCAUCCUUUAUACAUCCCAGGGAUAGGAUUAUUGGUCGGUUACAUGCGGGAGUCCUAGUAGAAUUGCAGGAAAGUCCUAGUAGGAGUCUAGCUUCUUCCUCCCUUACAGAUACUGGAGAUCUAUCCCGACAAUGAGUGACUUAGCGGUCGUUGUUUGCUUCAAGGGUGUUCUUGGGCAACGAUACCAUUGUUUCUUUUGUGUUAUCCGCUGUGUAGUUUUGCUCUUUUCAUGCUUGAACCUUAAUUC
rnacentral:lncRNA from 1 species